ensembl:lncRNA
UAGGGUUGUAGCCUGGGUGGAAUUUAAAGGGAAAGAAGGAAGGUAGGCUUGCUGCUUCCUACGUACCCUGCCGUGAACUGUUUCUCCUCUGCCAUGCCUCCUUGCCUUGGAGCCAGCUGACUAUGGACUGAAACCUCUACCAACUGGAGUUACUUCCUGACAACAGAAGAAACUGGGCCUGGAACCAAGAAAUGCUAGUUCUCCCCAGGAUAGAAAAGGAAUGUGCCUGCCAGCCUUCAGAAGAUUGCCAAGUGAGUGAGACUGUGCCCUCUGCUGAAAACACAAGCGGCUGGCAUUUGGUCAUAACCCAAGACUUCGGUUGGUAUUCAGCUGGUGUAGCAGUUUCUGGGAGUCAGUUGUUGUCAGGACUUCUGUCAUCUUGCUAGAGACUGCGGCUCCUCAGCGUGAUCAUCCUCCCUGGGCCUGCUCUCACCUCACCCCACGCUAUCGGAUAAGAGAGGCCUAGGAGCACUUGAAGAGUCUGAAUAAAAAUUCCAACAAGGCCUGCAACACCCCCCACGGAUGGUCCCACCCCCUUCAUUUGUUGUGCUGCUGGAGAUCGAACCUAGGGCGACACAAUGCAAUUUUACUUCCAAAAGAAUCCUUGAACACUGCAAACAAAUCUCUUCAUAAGCUGAAGUAGCAUUCCUGGAUCCAGUGAAGCUUUAAACACCAGAAGCCUAGACACAAUAGCAGCCACCUCUCCAUUUGGUUUUACUCAGUGGUGGUGGUGGUUACACUGGGGUCCAGUGUGUGCACUAGAUUCAUUUACCACGGCUACUCUGUGUGAUGCUAAAAUCCUAUGCUUCAUGAGUUCCAAUGUUAUUACAGAAAUACCUGUAUUGCGAAAGUAUAAGUCUGUAAUUUCUUAAGAAAACAAUGGUAAACAAGGCUUUUUUACUCAGUGAUGAAAAAUACACUAGGUUGAUGGUUCACUUGUUUUUGUAUAAUAUAGAAUUGAAGGUCUCCAGUUUUUCUCUGAUUUGUGUUAAAUGUUUAGCUAGUUCGAGUAGCUCUGAAGCUACUGCAACUAGCAGAAGGAAUUAACCAUUUCAAAAAUUUGUUAAUGACUCUUUCCUACACGUCCAGUGUGCUAAGUGCUAUGUUGUGCUGAAGGUGACCGAUUCUGACUUGGAGGGAAGGGGGGGCAUUUAAAAUUUGGUCUUUUGAGAGAAAUGGCAUCAUAAUGGAUGGACAGGUCAGGGGAGGGCCUUCUAUGCUUAAGAAAGAGCAGAGGCAGAAAAAUGGACUGGGCACAGGUUAGUCCUAUAAGGACUGGGGCAUCAAAUCAAAGUCAGCAUACUUGGGAAACAGGUGGGACAGAGCUGAUGGUGCCAGUGAGUGCCAUGGGAUCGAGCAGUCACCACUGUGGGCAGCAGCACAGCAGCGGGCUACGUUUCUACCUGGUUACCCACUGGAAUCCCCUGGGAUGACCCCAUGACCUCCGGCGAUUCUGAUUAAUAGGUCUGUGCUGGGCCUGGAACACUGGAAUUUCAUAAAACUUCCGCACGACUAGAAUGUGCAGCCAGGACUGAGACUUGCUGCUCUGAAUUCUCAGAUCCCAGGCAAAAAUGAAAAGGAGAAGUCCCAGAAUGUGAUGGUGGGAGGAGCAAAUUCCAGCAGUGGGAAUCAGGGGAAGCCUUUAUGGAGGGUGAUGAACAGGACAUGAACUCCUGCUCUGAGAUCCUCACUGUGUGUGGAGAAAACAGACUACUACUACUCAGCUCCUCGGUGCUGAAAAAAAGAGGUGAGGGAGCUUUCUUCAGGCCCAAGGCACAGGAGGGAAAGGCACUCCAAGACUGAAUCAACAGGGUCUGGUGUUUGGUGUACAGCAAGGGACAAAGAGGAAGUGUCAGAGACACACCGGAUCUUCCACUGGAGGAUGAGCUAUGCAGGGAAUGGAGGCAGAGACACCACAUAACCAGGGGUGGGGCGUGCGUGGGAAGGAUGGCAGUGCUAGGAUGCUUCAGGUCUGAUGUGUGUGAGGAAGCACCAGUACUUCCGAGAUGUCCAGCUACGGACAGGAAGUAAGGGUGAGAGCAACACAGGAGAAUCCCGGCUGGCAAUAGGAGUUUAUAAGAGUUACCUGCGGUCUCAUGGGGAGACACAAACUCAUUCUCUCAGUAUGCAAGUGGGGACUGUGCUGCUAGUGACUUAAUCCCACAGGUAUGGUGGACUUUUGCAGUUCAUGUCCUAGACCAACAUGAGAAGGGGGUAGGGGUCGCAGUCUAUACCCACUGGGGUGGAUUUCCACCUCAUCUGCAUGGGCUUCUUUGGUGAAAAGCUGUGUCUUCAGCGCUGCUGGCCUCAGUUCCUCAUUUUUUUAUCAGCACCUUCUACAUCUGACCACUUAUGUUUAACAUCCUUAGACAAGGGUAGGUUUUAAGUUAAGAAAUAGCAUGUGUCUGGAUCAAGUUACUUAGCAUAAGUCCAGGUUAAGAACAGAAAAAAAUUCCCACAGGACCAAGAACUUGUUACAAUUUCUCUUAUUUUUUCAAUACUGUGUAUUGGGUCUGGAAGGCACUGAGCUACAUCCCCAGGCCUUUUAAUUUUUUUUAAAGAUGGAUCUUGCUAAGUUGCCCAGCCUGGGCUUGAACUUGAGAUCCUCCGGCCUCGGCCUCCUAAGUAGCUGAGAUUACAAGUGCAUACCAUGACAUCUGACUUCAUUACAGUUUCAAGUUUCAAGGUUUUAAAUGGUCUCUGAUCAGGAUUUAUGGAGACAUGAAAAGAGGCCAGUCACCCUGUAUCUACAGUUCCUUUCAGCUUGUGGUCAGAAAGUCAGCCAUUUGGAUUCUCUUUGCUUAAUUCUACUUCAAAGCUUUAUUUCUGAAACUAGUGCAUUCUUUUUGACCUUUUCUCUUCCAACUUAGGGCCUAUAUCAGCUCUGCUCUUCUCUUGUAGUUUAAUCACAAUUGGACAUGGUCUUUAUUAGGUUCAGGGCUACAUUUCGGUUUUGGACAACCCUAUACUACAAGUCCUAGGGCUGGGAAUUUAGCUCAGUGGUUCUGCCACCUGCCUUGCAAGCACAAGGACCCGAGUUCUAUCCUCGGUACCAAAAAAAAAAAAAAAAAAGUCCUGGUUAGUUCUACACCAACAUUUGUUGGUUUAAAAAUGGUUAACACACCACCUUUAUUGUUAAACCCAAAUUUCUGUGCAUAAGGUGACCUCAUGUUUAUAAUUUCUCCUCUGUGGAAUGAAAACAGCCCCUCUGUCUACUGUCUCUGUAAACCAAUGUUCUGCAGGGGUGAUGCCUAGAGCAUUACAACUUCAUAGCACCUUUUUGUAAUUCAGGAUCCACAAAGUAAACUCAUUUACGGAGAUUCCAAUUAUCAUAUUCUUCUUCUAGCAUUAUUGUUAUAUAUUAUAUAUGUAUACACUAUAUUAUAUACUACAUAUAUUUUUGUGUAUACUCUAUUAUUUUCAUGGUAAUUCCAUUCCUUAUGACUUCUAAAAGGGAAAAUUUUCUCAAGGAUUCAAAAUGUUAUUUUAAAAUACCAAUCAAGUGUUAAAAUUUUUUCUUGUUUUACUACUUAGAAUUAAAAGCAAUUUUUAAAAGUAUCUUUCAUGCUAACCCAGCUCUAUUGUACUCUGAGGAGAAAUCUGAGCCAAUUCUAACACACAUUCACACCCUCCUAACCAAAUAACCUUGUCAUGUCAAAUGGUUGGC